AUGACACAUACAGAGGGGACAUCCAGCGGUUCCAAUGGCGAUCCCCGUGGCUCAAUGGCGCUCCCAGCGGCCGACGACGACAACAUCGGGAACAAAAAACUCUUUCCCCUCCGUUUCUUUUUCUUUUUCCCGCAUCCUGUCCCCACCCGUCAAAGGCCCAGCCAAAUUUUCUCCUUCUAUUUCGCCCGCGAAGAGGCACCACUAAAGGUCACCGCCCACCCCGGCAUUUUUUCGCCAGAUUCAAUCGAAUCUCCUAUAUCCCACGACUGCGGCGAUCAGGGCCGGCAGAUUGGGGGUGGCCGCCCGCUGGCCGACCUUGAAUCCACCACACAACCAUCCCCACGAGCACUCCGCUCUACCCCCCCUGCUCGCAGCGACCGGCGACGGCGGAUUGGAGGAGGCCGCCCGACCGGCCGAGCUCAGAUCCACUACAUCAACCAGCAACAGCGGAUUGGAGGAGGCCUCCCCACCUGUCUCUCUUUCCCCACAGAUUGCAGCGACCAGCGUCGGCUGACGAAUAAAGACCGAGUCUGCACUUGUUCGAAACUGAAUAAAGGCCGAGUCUGCACUUGUUCUUGUUUAACUGAAUUCUGGAUGCUCCAUAUUUCAAAUGACUCAGAGUAUGAACCAGAUGCUGAAGAGGAGGCCUAUGUAGAGGAAGAGGAUUUGAGAGAUGAAGAGGAGGUCGCUCUUCCAAAGUCCAAAGCAAUGGAAGCAUUAUCAAAUAAGCCACCCAACAUUACUCAUGAGAAUUGGACUAGCCUUGUCAAUAAAUGGUCUGAUGAAAGAAACAAGAAAAUAUGUCAAAUGAAUAAGGAAAACCGAGAAGCUGUCAGGCAACACCAAAAGACGGGAUCUAUGUCCUAUGUUUCCUAUUUCAGCAAACUUAAUGCGAUGGAAAAAAGAAGGGAAGCACAAUCAGAAGGUGAGCAGCCAGUAUCCGAUACAUCGAUUGUGGCUGAAGUUCUAAAGGAAGAAAGCGCCCAUAGCACCGUCCUUUCUAGCAUGGGGUAUGCAUCAAGAUCCGGGAGGCAUCGGGAGGAGUUAGUCGCAAGACUUGAAGCACGAGAGAGAGCAUUUCAAGAGAUACAAAAGAAGCAACAAGAAGAAUUGGAAGCUCUAAAGAAGAGCUGCUUGAUUUUUUGA
rnacentral:rRNA from 1 species